CAAUAGCGUAUAUUAAAGUUGUUGCGGUUAAAAAGCUCGUAGUUGGAUUUCUGCUGAGAACGACCGGUCCGCCCUUUGGGUGUGUAUCUGGCUCUUUCUUGGCAUCUUCUUGGUGAACGUUGCUGCACUUGACUGUGUGGAGCGCUACCCAGGACUUUUACUUUGAGGAAAUUAGAGUGUUUCAAGCAGGCAUACGCCUUGAAUACAUUAGCAUGGAAUAAUAAGAUAGGACCUCGGUUCUAUUUUGUUGGUUUCUAGAGCUGAGGUAAUGAUUAUUAGGGAUAGUUGGGGGCAUUCGUAUUUAACUGUCAGAGGUGAAAUUCUUGGAUUUGUUAAAGACGGACUACUGCGAANGNAUUUGCNAAGGAUGUUUNCAUUG
rnacentral:rRNA from 1 species